rnacentral:lncRNA from 1 species
CUCCUGUCCCGGGACCCACCCAGGCGGAGGCAAGGGCAGGGGCGCUGGGGGCCCAGAGAGAGGGCGCCGCGAUGGAUGAAUGAGCUGUUUCCAGCAUUCCUGUGCGUCUGCUGGUUGUAGCUGCAGUCAAGAUUUGGGGCGGUCUCGUUUGUUGUGGGUGGGUGAUCUGGGAUCACGAUUUUCUCACUCUGUGCCCGGAAAUCAUGCCAUCUCUCGCCCAACGCUGUAUUUUAUAGGCUUCAACUCAAAAUUUUCCUUCAUGGCACAGUGGAAAGCUUUGAAGACGGCGGUUCUGGGGUCAGUGUUGCCCCUCGGGGGAUAAGUGACCUUGGGAAGGCCAUUUUCCUUUUCCUGGCAUGAUAAAACGAACCGUGGGGGUGGUCCAUAAUGGUUGCAGCACUGUCAUCAGGCUUGUGAGGGGAGCUUUUCCAUCACCCUCUAACCACCCCCUCCCCAGGACAUAACUGGAAUAUCAGUGAAGUUCUUUGAGCAUCGACCCCCUACAGUUCUGCCCCCUGUGGUGAUUGGAUUUGUGUGUCUCUGCACCUUGCUCCUAUUAGGCGCUUAAUGAACUUUAGUUAACUGAUUAUUGAAUGAAUAAUACGAAUCACCUUCAUAAAUCCGGACCCCUGCAAUUCCUCUUCCAGGCCGGGCGAGGGGGAGGGUAGGGGAUGGGGGAGAAUAUUGAGAUGAUUAAUAAUCGCGCGGCAGGGUUGCUGAUGUAAAGCGAUUUGCAGAUCUAAAGGGCAAUAAGCAUUCCUGGGAGAAAUCCAGCGAGAUUCCAGAAGUCUCUGAGGGAGCCGUGGGUGUGUACCGCCGGGCCCAGAGGGCGGGGGUGGGGCAGGCAGUGCCGCAGUGGCCGCUGCUGGGGAGCCGAUUGCAAUUGCGAGGAGAAGCGUGGGGUUAAUCCUUCAAGACGCCUGUCACCAUCCUCCCACCCCCAUCCCUGCCCCCUAGAUUCCCCAGUUCCUCUGGCUGAAGGAGUGUGUGUUUUCCAGAGUUUCAGAGCUGGAAGUCACAUCGGAGACUUUUAAUCUAAUUUAACCUAUUUCGCCAACAGGGAAAUUAAAGCUCAGAGAAGUUGGUUCGACCAUCCAAACUUGCACAGCUAGUUAGAAACUGAUAAAAGUCAGGAUAUCUAGCUUCAAAUAGUGUUCCACAUCGCCUAGGUGCUUCUAAUUUCCUGUGCUUCAGAACCCUGUUGCCUGGCUCAGCUGGUGGGUUGUACAUUUAGGCUAAAUAUUGACUUCAGGGCUCUUAAAGAACGCCAUUGUCACGUCUGCUGCCACACGCAGCCCACACCAUGACACCAGGGCCUGGGGGGGAUGGCCAAGAAUUGUGUACUUCCUAAAGCCUCAAGCAUUCCUCCUUAGAGCAGCUGGAAUGGUCACCCCUGUCCAGGGAACAGGAGUCGGCUGUUCUGAAACCAGUCUUAGUCUAGCAGUUGGUCACUUUUCAUAGUUACCCAAGCCUUGCAUUAAACUUUUCUCAGCCAAGAUUACAGCAGGAGGCAGGAGUAGCCCUAACCCUUUUCUGCUGUUUGGAAGUCUUUUCAUGGCACAUGGAGGGUUCCUUGCUGGGGGUGGGGAAGAGUGCCUCUUCAAUGCUUCUCUCUUUCUCUUUCCCCUUUCAGUCUCACCCAACUUCCUCUUACACGCUGUUUCUUCCCUAACUUCUAGGCUGAAUAUGAAGGCAACUCGGACUAAGAAGACGACUGCUUUCCAACUGCCCUCCCGUCCUGCAGCCGCCUGAUUUGAGGAAGGGGCUGGGAUCCUUCCCCUUGCCCUCUGGUUGUUCUUGGAGUUACAGCAGCCCCGCGGCAGCUCUGCCCCCUAGUGCACAUGUGAGGCAGCGCGCCCUUCUCCAAUCCAGAAGCCUCGUCGCGGUGCUGCCAGCAAGGGAGUUUUUCUGUAUUCACUUUGGUGGAAAUAGCAAAACUUGACAGAAAAAAAACCCAAGCCAAACCAAAACACACGAACCAUUCUAGCCUUUUCUCUCUUUCGUUUCUUUCUGAGGAUCUGGCCGAUUUGGAUGCAGAAAACAUGCCUGUUGCUUCUGCUGCGAAAUCUGCUCUUUCUCUUCCUGCUAUCGGAACCCUGUCCCUUCUUUCAAAGCCUAAUUCAGGCCAGGCGCGGUGGCUCACGCCUGUAAUCCCAGCACUUUGGGAGGCCGAGACAGACGGAUCACUUGAGGUCAAGAGUUUGAGACCAGCCUGGCCAAAAUGGUGAAACCCUGUCUCUACUAAAAAUACAAAAAUUAGCUGGACAUGGUAGCACACGCCUGUAAUCCCAGCUACUCGGGAGGCUGAGGCAGGAGAAUCACUUGAACCCGAGAGACGGAGGUUACAGUGAGCUGAUAUCAGGCCACUGCACUCCAGCCUGGGUGACAGAGUGAGACUCCAUCUCAAAAAAAAAAAAAAAAAAGCCUAUUUCAAAUUCCACCCCUUGCCUAAAAACUUUUCCUGACUUCUGACUUUCCUCUCCUAUGCGUCUUUUUUAUUUUUUAUUUUUGAGCUGGAGUCUCACUGUGUCACCCAGGCUGGAGUGCAGUGUCGCAAUCUCCGCUCACUGCAACCUCCGCCUCUGGGGUUCAAGCAGUUCUGCCUCAGCCUCCCGAGUAGCUGGGAUUACAGCCACCCGCCACCAUGCCUGGCUGAUUUUUUGUAUUUUUAGUAGAGACGGGGUUUCAUCAUGUUUGUCAGGCUGGUCUCGAACUCCUAACCUCAAGUGAUCCACCCGCCUUGGCCUCCCAAAGUGCUGGGAUUACAGGCAUGAGCCACCGCGCCCAGCCAUCCUAUAUGUCUUUUGAAAUAUGGCUGUACACAGGCUCAGCACACAGUGUGCACUUAUAUACUGUAUUUCUUUAUUGGGGUCCAAGUCUGUGCAUCUUUUGUGUUCACAGACCCCAGGGUGCCCAGCACAGGGCUGGGGACACAAACUGCUCUCAAUAAGCCCCUGUUUAUUAAUUAAUUGAUUAGCUUCCACAGAAACAACUGAGGUUUUGCUUCAAUAAACCUUGCAGAACUCUUAGUUCUUUAGGGACUCUGGAUAGUGAUCUAAUCAAAUAUGGCCUUGCACAGUAAGUCAUUUCACAAAGCAAUUUCACAAGAGAACACUAACAUCACCCAGAGUGGGAUGAGGAAGUCUGAAAUUUGAAGUGGACUCUCAGAAAGAUGAGGAAGGUGGCGGUGCUGUAGACAGGUCAAAGGACAAUGACUUAGGAGAGGUGGGUCUCUGCUUCUGGGAUAGAAGACGCAGCACGGGCCCUAGAGUUAGCUUCAUAUCCAGACUCUACCACUUGCUGUAUGUCCCUGGGCAAGUUUACUCUUCUCUCUGUGCCUCAGUUUUCUCCUCUGUAAAAAAAGGCCGGGCAUGGUGGCUCCUGCCUGUAAUCCCAGCACUUUGGGGGGCCAAGGUGGGCGGAUCACCAGCGGUCAGGAGCUUGAGACGAGCCUGGACAACAUGGUGAAAACCCAUCUCUACUAUAAAUACAAAAAUUAGCAAGGUGUGGUGGCACGCGCCUGUAGUCCCAGCUACUCUGGAGACUGAGGCAGGAAAAAUCGCUUGAACUCAGGAGGCAGAGGUUGCAGUGAGCCAAGAUCGCACCACUGCAGUCCAGCCUGGGUGACUGAGCAAGACUCCGUCUCCAAAAAAAAAAAAAAAAAAAAAAGUACCUAUCUCAUAGUGAUACAAUGAGGGUGAAUUAGCUGGUAUUUGUAAAGUGCUAAAGCAACACCUUGCACCUCGUAAGUACCAUGUAACUGUUUGUAAAUGAAUUUUCCAGCUUAGCUGUCUUGUCAUUGGAAUGGGGAUUGAUUAUAUGUUCUCUUGGUUCCCUCGAGCAGUGACCUUUCAGGGCAGUGCAUAAGCUUUGGGGUCAGGCAGGUCUGGGUUGACUCCUAUCUUUGUCGGUAGUUGUGUGACUUUGCACAGAUAACUUCUCGGAACCUCAGUGUUCUUAUCUGUGAAAUGGGAAUAAUUGUGUCUACUUCAAAAGACUGUUGUGGGUAUUGCAUGUUUGUAAUGUGCCUGGCACAGAAGGAGUGUAAUAAACAGAAGCUAUAGUUAUUAUUGUGGACAAGAGCAGCCACAUGUAAAGGAAAAUAGAGUUUCCAAGGUCAUUGAAGUUUCCAGAAAGACUGAACAUAUCAGAUAGCAAUGAGACCAGCUCAACUUGUGGAGCUUGGUGGGAGGGUGGGCCUGGGUCUGCGCCAGGAGUAAAUAUCACCCCAUUUGAGGAAGCAGAAACGGUGUGACUUGCACAUCAGCUCUAAGAACAUUUUCUGCUCCAGGGCUGUGCUGAGGGCGUGGACCCACUGGGGCUGGAUGCCAGGAGCUGGAGGCCUCUCCGGCUCUCCUUCCCAGGAGGGGAGAUUUUAGUAGAGAGGGUGUGGGUGGGCCUUGGAAACCUCUUGUUGUGUGUGCGUGGGGUGCGGGGGAGUGUCAGAAUGGCCCAGGGAUAUCUGGCCUUGGUAGGUGUACUCCCAGGCCUGGGGUGGCCUUCCUCAUGGCAGAACCUGCCUUCACGGCUCCUCAAAGCUGCCAUCCUUCACUCCAACUGAAGACACCCCUGACUGAUUGCCUGCAAUUAUCCGAGGAGUGGGGGAAGGAGGGUUUUGGUAGUCUUGCAGCCAAAUUAAUCUUAAUUCCCUUCAACUCGUGUGGAAAAGUACCCAACGAAAUAUGCAAAUGCUGCAUGUAUUCCUUCAGUAAAGGGGAAGGAGGGUUGCAACAUCAAACAAUGAUAGGGUGUCGCAAUCCUAAACGUGUGAGGAAUUACUCUUAAGGUCCUCGUACUUGACAGCUCCGGGCCCCCAUGACACAUGAGGAGUUUUGUGCUCCGAAACAGGCCAGGGCCAGGGUGUCUACCACGCUUACCACUAGCUGUGAUUUGGGGGCCUCAAACACAGCCUGAGACCUGGCAAAACCAUCUUAGGAACUGGGGAUCACAGAGGACUCUGCAAACCUCCUUCUAAACUCAUAUUUCCAGUAAUGGCAACAGGGUGGGCCCUUAAUAGCUCCUGGAGCAGAAAUUGAAGGUUGAGCUAUCUUUAAAAAAAACAUGGCAGGCGUGGUGGCUCAUCCCAGCACUGUGGGAGGCUGAGGUGGGAGGAUCACUUGAGGCCAGGAAUUCAAGACCAACCUGGUCAACAUAGUGA